AGGGAAGGAAUCAUGUUACUUCAACUGCUAUUUUCACAUAAAGAAGGCAGAGAAGGGGGACUGGUUCUGUAAAUGUCUUUCAGAUCAUAGGGUAGCUGACCUGGCUUUCUCAGCUGUUAUUUUGCUUGUUUAACUGACCCGUUGUCUGAACAGGUGUGUGGUACAGCAAAGGCUUGCUUAGGAUAGCUGGCAUAACUUUCUUUUCCGGGCAAGAAGUAGACCACAACAUGGUUUGUCCAGGAAGAUUCUGAAGUCUGAACCCUUGAAGGGGGAAAUGAUGCUGAAACGUGAAUUUUCUUUAUAGAAGGCAAAAAUUGCUUUUGAAAAGCCCAGCAGGACUUAGGCUGUUGGCCUUCCCACUCUGCUGUCCAGUCAGUGAGCCCUCAGCGGUGAGAUGGAGGAAGCACAGGGACCCACAGGUCCCCAAGGGGAUAAGGGUGGUUUCUGGCCUCCCCAUCUUCCUGCCACCUCUACAGUGCAGGUGAU
rnacentral:lncRNA from 1 species